UCCAGACUCCUACGGGAGGCAGCAGUGGGGAAUAUUGCACAAUGGGGGGAACCCUGAUGCAGCGACGCCGCGUGAGUGAAGAAGUAUUUCGGUAUGUAAAGCUCUAUCAGCAGGAACGAGACAAGACGGUACCUGACUAAGAAGCCCCGGCUAACUACGUGCCAGCAGCCGCGGUAAUACGUAGGGGGCAAGCGUUAUCCGGAAUCACUGGGUGUAAAGGGAGCGUAGACGGCUGUGCAAGCCUGAAGUGAAAGGCGGGGGCCCAACCCCGGGACUGCUCUUGGAACUGCGUGGCUGGAGUGCAGGAGGGGCAGGCGGAAUUCCUGGUGUAGCGGUGAAAUGCGUAGAUAUCAGGAGGAACACCGGUGGCGAAGGCGGCCUGCUGGACUGCAACUGACGUUGAGGCCCGAAAGCGUGGGGAGCAAACAGGAUUAGAUACCCCAGUAAU
rnacentral:rRNA from 1 species